CGUUAACGAGCGACCGAGAGUAAAACACGAAUUUCUUUGCCAUCAUUAGCUUUGUUCCACACGCUUUCCGGGCUGUUACGCUUUUUAACAGUACGCCGCCUAAAAUGCUACAUCAAAAAAAAUCGUGCAAAAAAAAAAUGUUUGCGUUUAUUUAUUUUUAAAAAAUACAAAAACUAGAGUCUGGCAAGCCUGAUUCUCUCACCGCUCUCAAUUUCGGAAAGGCCGUAACUUAAGAACCUAAAAUCUACAAGUUCUUAAGUUUCUUACGGUAAGUUCUAACUAACCGCCAACAUGGUUUCUCAUAUAACAGGUUGGCCAAAAUAUUAAGUUAAGUUAAGUUACCGAAGUUAAGUGCAAACUAACUGAGCUUUCAGAAAUGUAUCAACACGUGCCAAAACUGUGUGAGGAAGGCAAAAACUACAUUUCGUGCCCGGAAUCAACAAAUCAGCUCUAAAUAACGAUUUUAUGUGUAUUAAUCUUAUAUGGCUAAUAAAAUGAGCAAAUAACUACA